rnacentral:lncRNA from 1 species
AUUGAUUCUCUGUUUUAUUCAUAUAGCCGUUACCCUCCUUAGUAUAUAUAUAUCUUCCUUUCGGCUAUAACAGGUACACAAGGGAAUAUACAUCAGCAAGGGAAAAGCAGUAAUCAUCUUUAGUCUUAUUGAUUGAUUGAUUGUAUUCCUCCUUUGAGAGCUUUUACUGUCUAGAAUUUUCCAGCAAGUUAGCAUCUCUUUGUAAGUUCUUUAUUAGCUGGAAAAUAGCCAUUGUAAACCAAUAUCC